GCGUUCUUAGCUCUGCCGGCAGAGCAUCAGAGUUUUAAUCUGAGGGUCGUGGGUUCG
rnacentral:tRNA from 1 species